ensembl:lncRNA
UUUAAUACAUGUGGGCUUGCCAGAAGUCAUAAAGCAUCACAGAAGACGUUGUCAUGGUGCCCCUUGACAAGACACGAACACUAUGAUACAAGAAACCAACGGUGAUUCAACACUGAAACCCAGAAGGUGUCAGCGGGUUUGAAAAGCUGCUAAGCUCUAUGCCCAGUACAUGUGAACUUAAAUGAUGCCAACCAAUCAGAGUGUUCGUCCAAUGGGAUGUGGGAGUCUAUCAAGCGUGAUUUGAAGACCUCUGAUAUUUGACACCCUCCCACCCCUCCAAGUAUUUUCUGCUUAAAUUUGAGCUUCCCGUGACAGUUUUGGUGCACAAUCCGGCGCCACAUGCAGGAAAACACUUUCUGCACAUGAAAACCAGCACAUAGCAGCUGAACAGAUCAUUAAAAAUGGGGAACAAAGUACCAAAGGAGGCUAAAAUGGGCAACAGCCUGAAAUGUUGCAAGUGUGAUAAAGUCCUGCCGCCGUGUACGAGCUUCAACAAUUUAACACAAAGUUCCGUUCAGGGGCGGUACGUGCACGUGUUCAAUGGAGGUGAAUACUACCGACCAGUUGGCAACAACAACUGGUACGAGUGCAAUUAUUGCUUCCAUAAGCCGAUGAGAGAUCGAGAGGAGAGGAGGAGAGAAGAGGAGAGGAGGCGAGAAGAGGAGCGACGGAGGAGAAUGGAGGAGAAAAGAGAAGAAGAACGACAAGAACGACUAAAUCAAAGGCUACAAGAGUCACAAAAGCAAGCCCAACAGCAGCAUGAGAAACAAAAAAGCAUUUCCGAAGAAUACCGGCCCAAGCGAGACGUCCUCAUCAGGCACCUGGAUGAGUUUGAGGCCGACGAUGAAUCACGCAGCGACGACUUUAUAGAAAUCCUCUCGCUGAAAUUAGGCAUCCCGGUUUCAAAUGUCAAUCUCUCUGAGCUGACUUCUGAUGAGCUGAGAAAGAUCCUGCCAGUGCUGGACGAGCUUCUGUUCGAUGAAUGGCUCAGCGCUCCUCCAUCCGUCAGCACUCUGCAGCACAGCCAGGUGUUCAUCACGGAGCUGUGUGCUCUGUCUCUGCACAUGUCUGACGGAGUUUCCCUGCAAAGCAUCUCCGAUCAGGUGCAGACCCUGGUGGGGUCCAUCAGCCAGUCAGCUCAUGGUGUUUCUGAGAAUUUCCUGUUGACUCAAGCCCUGUAUCUGACCCUCAUUCACUUUCUCACUGACAGCAGCAGCCCUGACACUGAUGCGGCCCUCGUAGCCAAACAAUGGGCUGAAGAUGAGCUUUCCACCGAGCAGCUCUUUCCUAUAGAGUUCCUGAGCGCUCUUGCAUCGUCACUGCAGACUACAGUCGAAGGAACCUCUGUGUUCAUUUUAAAGAUGGAGAUCCAGUGCUUGAGACUUCUCUUAUCCACACUCACACCUCUGAAUGGUGAGGAAACCCACUCAGAACCCACUGAGAUGCUCCUCAGACUUGUGCAAACAAACCAGUGGACCCCAGCAGAGGCAGUGACUCUGCUCAAAGCGCUGUCACAGAAAUAUUCAGAAGAUGCUUCCAUAAUCGAAGUCCUUACGUUGAUGCAAGUGUACGACAUCUCACCAGAAUGGAUGGAUGAGUCCGGACGCUCUCUCAUACAAACUCUUGACGAUGUUGGCCCUGAGAAAUUCCAGCAGGAUUUCCAAAAGACUCUCAGAAGACAAGAUGAGAGCACUCUGGUUGAAGCUCUAGCAGAAUUAAAAACAUUAAGGGACUUGGAUGAUUCUGAGAUUGAUAUGAUAAAAAACAUUACCACUGGCGUCCUUCGAUACUCAGAAAAUGCACCAAGAGAUGCAGCCUUUCAGAGAGAUUCCUUUAAAUGUGGAAGCUUAAAUGCAGACGACAUACAGGAGUCUCUGUCUCAGCUCUGCAGAGCAGUUUUUGACACAAAAGGCUGGUGGCCCACAGUGAAGCAGAUGCUGCGCUGGUGUGCCUUGAUGCUGACUGAGAAGAGUCCAGUGCUACAGCUGGUCGGUCUGGAAGAAGACGAAUGUGUCACAGCCAUGUUUGCAGCUGCACGGGUCUGCACAGGAAGCAAAGUGGACAUUGUGUUGAGCUCUGAUGGUCACUCUCAGGAGCGAACUAAGAACUGGUUUGAUUUCUAUGAGCACCUUAAAAUUUCUGUCAACACAAACAUGGAGAAAACAAAUGCAUCCUACAGCGAUGUCUACGAAGCAGACAUUGUGCACGGGACCAUAGAUGACUUUGUGUCUGAUUACUUUAAAGGCAGCAUAGAAGCGAUGGAAGCAGACAGCCCUCAGUUCAGUCGUGGAUUCCUCAUUGAACAACAAAGUCCCAGUGCAUUCAGGAAUCUGGAACUUUCCACACUCAAGGAGAAUGAUUCGCUUGUGUUUGCUGCGGAGGUCCUGCAAAACCUCAUGGGUAAAUUUCAAAGUGAAGAUAUGGAAGUGAGACACAAGUUUGUUAAGGCUCUUUUCCAGGUGCUUCACACCAACCUGAACAAAGACCCCAACCCUGACAACAAACUCAUCACCAUCUUAGAAAAGAUUGCUGGAAAGAGUUUGUCUUCUCAUGAGGCCUUCAUUCUGACUUUUCUUGAGAGUGUCCUGAGGGCAAUGACUAGAGAAACAGGUGAAAACAUGACAUCUCCUGCAGGGAAAUGUUUGGAGAUUAUAUUUGCCUGUGUAGAGCGAUUCCAAGCCUCAAAAGAACAAACCGCAGAAAUCUUCCAGAUGGUUUCAAAUCUUGGAGCAAAAACCCUUUGGUCACCAGCGGAAACCUUGGACCUCCUCGGAGCACUAACUGACCGCCAUCACGAUGAAGACUGUGUUUCUAUCAUGAGAAUUUUACAUCUGAUGGCCACAUAUCAGGUUUCCAGCAAGUGGACAGAUGAGAACAACCAGUCUCUCCUUAUGCUCCUAGGUUCUUAUGAAGCUGAGAAUCUAUUCCAGCAUUUAGAAACCAGCCUCAGAGAGGAGAACAUAAAAAGCAUUGACACACUUUUUGAGGAAAUACGGCAGAUGAAAGACAUUGAUGAGCAAACACUGAGUAAAUCAUACAGUGUGGUAAGACAUGUAGCAAACCUAAUUGAAAGCGGUGAAAUUAAAAAGCACACAGAUGCACAGCGAGCGAGGAAUCUCAGUCACAGUCUGGAUACUGAGGACCUUCAGGAGUUGCUGGCUGUCUUAUGCAACGCUGUUCACUUGUACAUUGCUAAAGAGAAAUGGUUUCCUCGAGCCACUCAGAUGAUAAGCUGGUGCCUCUUGGCCUUGUCGGACACUGGGAAGCUCCUGGAGAUGGGCACUGGAGAAGGGAAGUCUUGUGUCAUCGCAAUGUUUGCAGUCUUGCGUGCGCUCAGGGGUGAAAAAGUAGAUGUGGUGUCCAGCUCUUCUGUGCUGUGUCAGAGAGAUGCAGAGGAAUGGGCCGAAUUCUACAAGUACUUUGGCAUUACAGUUGACACAAACACAAACAAAACAGAGGAUAAAGAUCGGAAAGAAUGCUACCAGAAGGACAUAGUCUACGGGACUAUCGAAACCUUUGCUGCAGAUCACCUUCGCCAGAUUUUUGAGAUGAAGGAUGUGAGGCCUGAUCGCGGCUUUCAGUGCAUCAUAAUCGAUGAAGUCGACUCACUGCUGCUGGAUCAGGGUGUGCAGCUAACCUACCUGUCCAGCGCCAUGGUCUCCAUGCAGCAUCUGAACAUUAUUCUGGCCAUGAUCUGGAGCCACGUCAACCAGUAUGGCUUCCUGUCUGCUGGACAGCAGAUGUUUGUACAGGCUCCUCCUGCCUCAUUCUUCAAGGCCAUCUUUGACUCAAUAGACACAGAAGAAGGUGAAAUCAGUGACCCAAUGGACAUUUUACGUAUCGCUGAAGAAACCAACACUGUGCCAACAGGAUUCACAGAGGAUUUCUACAAAAGUGAGAAGGAUGAACUUCUUCAAAAGCUGAAAACUGUCAGUCAGGAUGCAAUGGUGAAUUUUUUCCAAGAAAUGGAGGACUAUGUCCCCUAUGGCUUUAGCGUUUACACUUUGGACGAUGAGGGACUGCUCUGUCUUCGAAAGCGCAGUCCGUACAACAACCGGGACAUUCCAGAGCUUAAAUUUCUUGUCUUGGAGGAAGGCUUGUGUUGUGUUCUCUAUGAUUCAGAGGAAAUUCUCAUCAAGCCUAUCGUGGAGCUAAUCUCGGAGAAGAUUCAGUACACUCCAUGUGCAAACAAUAAGGACAAAAUCAGCAUCCCUGGAUUCUUGAGUCACCUCAUAGAGAGGAAAAUGUCAGUGUGGGUUCAGAAUGCCUUUCUGGCAAAGCAACUGAGGCAAGGACGAGAAUAUGUCGUAGAAAACGACAACGUCUGUCCCGUGGACUUCAAAUCCACCGGUAUUGUGGAAAUGAAUAAGAAAUGGGGUGAUGGUUUGCAGCAGUUUGUUGAGAUUAAACACCAAAUCAAACUGAGCACAAUUUCAACAGUGACGAACUACAUUUCUAACACAUCCCUCUUUGAAAAGUACAAUGGGAAAAUAUAUGGUACAACCGGGACACUUGGGAGCCAAAUAGACAUGAUGUUUUUGCAGGACUUAUAUCCAAGUCUAUCUGCCUGCAAAAUGCCAACAUUCAACAGGAGGAAGUUAUUCGAAGUCAAAGGUUCUGUGAAAACCUCAGCUGAAGAGUGGAAAUCUGAAAUAAAACGAACGGUUAUGUGUCAGAUUUCCCCAAAUUCAUACAGAGGUGGAAGAGCAGCCCUGGUGAUCUGUGAAACUAUCAACAAAGCCAAAGAGAUCCAUGAAGAGCUGAAGAGCAGCAUCCCAGGUGAGAUCAUACUCUACUGCCGAAGUGACAAAGACAGUUUAAGCAAAAUAGACAAGGAACUGCUUCCUGGUGAUGUCAUUGUUGCUACAAACCUUGCCGGGCGUGGCACCAACAUUAAAGUGUCCAAAGAGGUAAACAACAAUGGAGGAUUAUUUGUGGUUCUGUCCUACCUCUCUGAGAACACAAGAGUUGAACUCCAGGCUUUUGGUCGAACUGCACGUAAAGGUAGACCUGGAUCUGCUCAGAUCAUCAUGUCAGUCACUGAAUCCCUGCAGCACUCCUUCUCGACAGUGUCGUCUCUGGAGGAAGCUAAGAACACCAGGGAUAGACUUGCAGCAGUGAAAUUAGAACAAACGAUGGAGGACGUUGCUGAGAUGAAACUACGGGAGGACCUGUUUUCAGAGUACUGUGAAACUCUUCAAGAUAUUUACAAGAACACAGAUGAAGAUGAGAGAAGAGCUGUUGUUGCUAUCUUGAAUGAGUUCUGGGGAAUAUGGUUGCAAACGAAAUCGGAAGACAUUGAACAGUUGAAGAGAGAUGAAUUACAAAGAGACUUGGAAACAGAUUUGUCACUGGCAAAAAAGCAAUCUGAAAGUGAGACUUCACCAUGUUCCAGCAUUUAUCACUACAUCAAGUUUGGAAAUGUCGCAAUGAAUGACAAAGAAUGGAACGUCAGCGCUAAGCUCUUUGAAAAGGCCAUGAAACAGGAUCCAAGUUGGGCAGCCAUUGCUUUUUACAGUCAUUCGUACUGCACCAUAAAGCAGAAGAGUGCAGAUUACCUCAGCAAGGCCAAAGAUGAUCUGAUAAAGGCACAGGAUUCUCUGAAGUAUCUCAGUGAGGAGUCCAUGGUCUGUCUGCAGUUUGUAAAAAUAUCCUCUGCAAACUCAAACAUCAAUAACCCAACCAGCCUUGAGAAACAACUCACAACCAAAUGCAGCAUGUUAAGCUACUUUGACAAAAACAUUAGCGAGGCCAUCCAAAAACUGGAUGAAAUAAAGAAUAAAGGAAGGGAUGCACUGGUCAAAAAGUCACCAGUUUUCUUGCUGGUGUCGAGUGCGGACGAAGCUCUCCAAGAGGAAGCCUACAACCUCUACAGUCGAGGUCUGAAAUAUGUAUUUUCUGUAGAAGAGGAGCCUCGUUUUCCAUGGGAAGCUUUGCUGGUGUUCUGUCUUGGAGUUUUACAGAUUGUUGGAGGAGCACUGCUCACUGCGUUUACAUGCGGGACUUUAGCUCAAGUCGGCAUGGGUCUCAUCGUUGAGGGAAUAUCAGACUGCAUCACUGGCAUAGAGUCCAUGGUGACUGGAAAAUUCAGCUGGAAGUCAUGGGCUAUAGAAAAAGCUAUUUCUAUUGGUGUGUCUCUCAUCGGGUUUGGAGUUGGAAAGCUGCUUGCCAAGGGUGUCAAAGGUUCCAAAAUGUUAAUUAAAGGAUUGGGCAAAAAUCUGAAGUCAAUGCCAAAGUUUCUCUCCAAACAGGCUAAAGAUGGUUUGAGUGUUGUCACAAAGGCAAAUAUGAAGAAUACAGUAAAACACACUGCGAAAAAAAAUGGCAGAAGAAAUCAUUAAUUAUGGACUUGGGAAGGCAGAGGGUGAAAUAAUGACCCAAAUACUAAAAGGCCUCAAAAAUGAGGUGAAAAACGGAAUUGUUGAUGAAGUGAAAUCCAACAUGGAAAAAGAGCCCUUAAAUUCACUAGUGGACUUCAUUAUCCUCUCACAUAUUGAGGAUAAAAACCAACUUGAUGAUCUCCUGGAGGACAAGAACAAAAAGAGCAAACUGCUGAGUACUUUCAAAACGUUAAGCAAAGCCGCAGCACAGACGUUCUAUGCAGACCUCGGUUGGCAGAACAAGGUGAACUCAUCAUUAGCCAGUGUGAUUGAUGAAGCUAGAGCAGAAGCCAAAGGAAAAGUUCGAGGAAUUCUGAUUCUUAUCCAAACUGCCCACGUCGCGGCUCUGGCAGAAGACGCCAUCAGUGCAAUGCUCUCAAUGUCCGGCAAGUUUUUCUCAAACCUUCAAGAAGAGUUGGAAACAUUUAAAAAAUCCAAAGAUUCUGCAGAAAAAGUGAAGGUAAAUGAGCUGUCCGCUUCAGAUGUUGAGAUGCUGGAAGAAUUCAAGCAAGAUGUAGAGGAAGCCAUCAGCGCUCAGUUGGCUGAUGCUUUUGUGGAAGUGUUCCACCAGAAGUUCUCGAGUCACGUCGUUUCUCAUGUUCAGAACCAGGUCAACGGUGUCAUUGGGAAUUAUGUCAGAACUGGCUUAAAAAGUGACAGCACAGAUGAGAAACUCCUAGCUGGACAGAAUAACAGUUACAUCUCAUACAUGCCAGUAAACACCAGUGCUCAGCAGAAAGGGGCGAGUAAACGCUCACAGUUUCGUGCCGAGAAGAUCAAGGAUCCCAAGACUGCCGGCACCAUUCUUGAUAUCAGAGUCCUGGCAGAAGCCAAUGGCACCAAGGUUGUCAUCCUAACAGAAGAUAGUCGUGGCAAACUAACCAAACUGCAGGAGCUGAGCCCAAGCACUAAACCCACCAGUCAAACUGUGACGCUGGUCUACAGACCGAAGAGCGACCAACACCCUGACGGCCAUUAUGAUGUGCGCAUCAAUAACGAGACAGUGAAAAUAGAUAGCAAGGGCGAGAGCAGCCUGUUUCCUGCUUUGGCACGAGGCAUGAAACCCAAGGCCAGCGAAUCAGAGGUUCGUUCGGAAGCAGACCGCCUGCGAUCAGUGGAGGCCGACACUCUCCUCAAACACCCCGGUCAAUGGGACUCUUUCAUCAAGCGUGAAGAGAUGACUGGAUCAGUCAGUGGACAGGACUGGUUUUCAACAGCGGGAGCCGCAUCAAAGGUAAAAGAAAGCAAAAUGGCUAUUCAGAACGAGGCUGGGAAAGUACAAAUGUACAAAAAAUGGCAAAAAUCUGCCAAGCAAAAUCCAGAAGUAGGAAAGUUCAUCAAAGCCGAUCACCAACCUCCAGUCAAAAGUAUGUUGGAAGCUCGAAAGUUAACCCAGGAGAGCAAAUUAGCUAAAGCUAUGCUUGAUGUGGGAACAAAGACGUCUCCUCUGACUGCCAGUCUGACCAAGCAUCAAGAGCUUUCAUCUGUUUACGCAUCUCGGAAGACACGUUUUGAGCUUCCUAAUACUAAAUUAAAAGCCUUCGCAACCCGUAUAGCCACCGCCAUAAGCAAGGAUGAUGUCGUGGGCGCCUUCAAGCUGACGAUCCUCGGCGCCACAAAGAGAUUCACUGAGAACUUCAGUAACAGCAAGAAGAGUCUAACCAGACUCAACAUGUUUGACAGCAGUUUCCAGCAGCACUGCUUAAAUCUGGUGCAACAAUGGUUCGACCUGCUUAAAGACAAGAAUGUCAUGAUGAAAAACCAUCUCACCGAAAUAACUGCAUGGAUCAAAAACAAGGGCUACAAGAAUCGCAACGAUCCACUCAGGAAACAAGUCUCCAACCUCCUCUAAUGAAAAGGUGUUUCUGAGCAACAGCUGAUCCUCUCUGUCAUGUGACCAUCCUCCAGCCAACCAGGACAGAUCAGGAAGUGCUCGAGUGCCACAAAUCGGAUCCAACGUGGAUCGGCUUCGCACCAGCUGAGGCCGUGACGUCCUGCAGCAACAGCAGCACAAGUUUCCUGCUCCUUUGGGUGUUUUGCCUGAAAUUAUCAGCGUUCUUCUGCUACUUUUCAUCGAAAACUGUGGAUAUUUGUAAUGUUGUCCAUGAAAUUUUAGAUUCAUAUACAGAAGGCUUUCCAAAAAACCCUUUUACCCACUUUCAGCACUUUUUUUUUAAUCCCUUUACAUAUAUUUAAUAUUAGUCUGACCAACACAACUGUUCAAAAGUUUGGGAUCACUCAGACAACUUCAUGUUUUCCAUGAAAACUCACACUUUUAUCCAUGUGCUAACAUAACUGUACAAGGGUUUUCUAAUCAUCAAUGAGCCUUUCAACACCAUUAACUAACACAAUGUAGCAUUAGAACACAGGAGUGAUGGUUGCUGGAAAUGUUCCUCUGUACCCCUAUGGAGAUAUUCCAUUAAAAAUCAGCUGUUUCCAGCUACAAUAGUCAUUUACCACAUUAACAAUGUCCAUACUGGAUUUAUCAUUCAUUUAAUGUGAUCUUCAUUGGAAAAAAAACACUUUUCUGUCAAAGAUAAGGACAUUUCUAAGUGACCCCAAACUUUUAAAUGGUAUUGUACGACUAAGCAAUGUUGAUUUCUUUCAUAUUUCUACUCACUGCUUUGAUCUACUUGUCAAAUAUUCCAUAUUCUGAAUUGACAUGAUGAGAAAUAAUGGUGAAAAUUUCAGGUAUUUAUCAUCCACAGCUCCUGAGAUAUUUUCACUUAAAUGAAAAAAACCUGCUGAAAGUGGGUUAACAUGGGAAUUUAAAAAAAAAAAAAAAAAGAUAUAUCAAUCUGAAAUUUCACAGGUAUCUUUACAGUUUUGAGACCCCUUCACCAUGGGAUUACCAAAAGAGUUAAAGUUUUGAUGUUUUUAAAAAGAUUUGUGUUAUUUGCUGCAGAUUAAAGCAAAUUCCUGAAUCGUUUUAGAGACACAGUUAUUUAGGUGUAAAUGAAAAGCCAGGUUGUCGGAAGGUGUGCAUCUAUUUUACCAUCUAGUCUGAAUUGAUGCAGCUCAAAUGUCUCUCAUCUCCAUGAAAAAAUCCAAGUUUGUCUUCCUUCAAAGCUUCGACAUGGUUUAAAAAGCUGCUCUAAUGAAAGUGCACAUCGUUAAUGAUUUACUUUCACAUAAAAACGGAAGAUUUGAUGGUAAAUCCUGCUGAGUUCUUUGUUAUUUCACCUUUAUUUUCUUUUGUUUUGUUGUUGCUGUGCAGCGUUUCUGCCUCAUCAUGGUUUUAUUAUUCGUAACUGUAAGAUGCUGUUUGUACUUUAGCAGUUUGGGGUUAUUUUUUAAUCUAUAGUUCAUGUUUCAUGUUAACUUUGUGUGUUUUAGUUAAGUUUUCCUUGCGUGUGAUCAAAUGAAAUUAUAAUCUGACAGAACGAAACCCGAAAAAAUUCAAAUCUGGACUUUUAUCUAAAUGUGAAAACAUGAAUUCUUAUUUUCUUCUGCGUGUUUAGUAAGAUUCUCAGAAGAAUAAUGAUACUUAUGUUAGAGGGAGAUUGAAUUUUGCUCAUUCUUUGUUCUUUUCCAUAACAAAGGGAAUGUUUGAGUGCUAGUUUUAAGUCAAUAAUGGAAAAUUUUCGUGUUAAAUGUGACAUUUUAAUUGAAAAAAAAAACAAUACAAGGACAUUUUUAAAUGAUGGUAAUGCUUUUAAUCAGGAUGUUUAAGUUGAUUUUGGGUACAGUAACUUCUAAUAAGGUAAAUGAGGGAAAAAUUUUUUAUUGAUAUUUGGUAAAAUUAGCAAAAACAAACUCAAGUUAUAUAUCAUAAUAGUUCAUUUAACUUUUGUUUUUCUGUCAUUUAGAUGCUCGAUAUAAUAGUUAUGUGGGUGUGACUGGAUUUUACAUUUUUAAAAAAUCGCAAAAUUAUUCUCAAUUUUUUGUAACUUGGUCAACUAAUAUACAGUUAAAUUUAAAAAGUUGUAAAGUAUUUUGACCUGAAAGUUCUUUCAGAUUUUUUUAUUCACUUUUACGGCUAAAAUUGCUCAUGCUAAAUAUUUUUAAAAACACAUUUUAGCUAAUUUUAUUGCUCAUCAAUAUUCGGCUUAAGUGCAUUUUACUCAAUAUUCACAUAAAUGGAUACAGUGUUAAUAAAGAAGAAUUAAUCAGUGAAACAAUUGAAAUACAAGAAAUUGAAUGAUUUGAUGAACCUGAUUUACAUGAGAAUAAUUUAGACUUUUUUUUGACACAUUGUUUGCUUAAAUUCAAUCUGUGUUCAUGAGUCGGUGUGUUUUCUGAUGAUCAUUUUCUGUAAUCGAUGUGUUUUUGUUAAAGUGGUGGGUAUUUUUCUAUUAAAAAAAGCUGAUUUAAUCUGAAUAAAGGUUCAACUGUGUCAUUAUGUCCCAGUAGCUUAUAGAACAGCUGCCUUUAUGACCACAAUC